GUCAUCACCACCAAAAAAAGAAGAGCAGACAUCGAUGCUGGUCCCCACCACCGCCCCACGGGUUCAGGGCGUACCAGCUCUACACGCUGUACCGUGGCGAGGACGGGAAAGUGAUGCAGGCACCAAUCAAAGGUUGUCGCUGUGAGCCUCUGAUCAACAAGCUGGAGAACCAGCUGGAGGCGGCUGUGGAGGAGUUAAGAGCUGAGCUGGGAACAGUGCAGGACAAAGUGAACACAAAGCUGGGCCACAUGGAGAGCAAGAGCCAGCACCAAGUAAGCAAGGGACUCGUCUCUCCAUGACAGCUGUGAAGGGCUCGUGCUGUGGCUCAGUGGUAGAUCCCUGGCCCAGCAUGUGGCAGCCUUGCACACAUAAAGAUCAUGGAAGUCAUGCAUUCCUGCCAGGCAGAGUGCACAUGCCUGUGAUGUCAGCACUUAAGAGGCUGAGUCAGGAGAUCACAAACUCAAGGGCAGUCUGGGCAGCAUAGUGAGACUUUGUCUCUUACAAGAAAGAAAAGUGGCAGGUGAUGGGGGCGCACACCCUUGAUCCCAGCACAGGAGACGCAGAGGCAGGCAGGUCUUACAGAAUGAGUUCCAGGCCAUCCAGAGCUACACAGAGAAACUCUGUCUUUAAAAAUCAAAAACAGGAAAAGGAAAAAGAAAGAGAAAAAAAAAAGCAAUACACUCUCAUUUCAGAGAGUGUUUGUUUGUUUGUUUGUUUGUUUUAAGAAAAAGCAGCAUUAGAGAGGAUGCCAAUUGCCCACAAGCCUGUGGUGAUU
rnacentral:lncRNA from 1 species